GAUGAACGCUAGCGGGAGGCUUAACACAUGCAAGUCGAGGGGUAAAUGGUAGCAAUACUAUGAGACCGGCGGACGGGUGCGUAACGCGUAUGCAACAUACCUUGUGCAGGGGGAUAGCCCGUGGAAACGCGGAUUAAUAUUCCAUAGUCCAGCUAUAUCGCAUGGUAUAGUUGGUAAAGAUUUAUCGGCACAAGUUUGGCAUGCGUCUGAUUAGCUUGUUGGUAGGGUAACGGCCUACCAAGGCUACGAUCAGUAGGGGUUCUGAGAGGAUUAACCCCCACACUGGUACUGAGACACGGACCAGACUCCUACGGGAGCAGCAGUGAGGAAUAUUGGUCAAUGGGCGAAGCCUGAACCAGCCAUCCCGCGUGAAGGAAGACAGCCUUACGGGUUGUAAACUUCUUUUCUGUCAGAAGAAUAAGCUUGUCGAGACGAGUGAUGCCGGUAUGACAGGAAUAAGCAUCGGCUAACUCCGUGCCAGCAGCCGCGGU
rnacentral:rRNA from 1 species